UUUUUCUAAUUUUUUUUUUUAUCUUGUCCCAAAAUGUUACUACAUUUAUUUAUUAUUAUUAAUUUAUUAAAUGAGACCUAUUAUUUUAAUAUUACAAUUUAUUACAAUUGACAUUAAAUCACUAAAAUUAUUACAGCAGGUACAGUGUUUUUUUUUUAGCUUUAUAACAUAUUUCUAUCACAUCCAACUUGUUAAUUACAAGACAAAUACAUUUAUUAUUAUCUAAAAUUAUUUGAUCAUACAAUUUAUUACCAUUACUGUACCUGUACAUUAAUUCACUAAAAUUACUAACUGCUGGUAAAGUGUUUUGUUUAGCUUUAUAAAAUACUGUAUAUCCCUCACAUCCAAUACAUUUAUUGUUAUCUAAAAUUACUUGAUCAUAUGAUCACAUCAAAUCUGCUUCUUGAUAAUUUUAAAUAUAUCACAGCCUCAUAAAUAAAAUGUAAUCAAUGACCACCUAAAAUCCAUUCCAUGAUCACUUAAAUAAACAUCUUAAACUACAAUCUACCACAAAAUCACUUAAAAUCUAUCACAGGUUCACUUCAAACCUAUUUUACGAUCAUUCAAAAUCUAGGUCACCUAAUCACUUCAUAUCUACAUGAUCACCUAAAAUCUAUUUCAUG